GUUCACCUAAAAGUUUAUUAGACCAAUAUGAUACUGAUUCGCUAGAAAUCGCUUUUAUAAAACUUUGUGAAGAACAACCCAUUAAUGAAAAUGAAAAUAAUAGCUUACCGAGAUAUACAAAUCGAAACAAAACCUUGCUGGAAAAAAAUCAUUCCAAUUUCUCUUGGUACAAAAUUAACGCAUUAAUAAAAAAGAAUUGGUUUAUAUUUUCAAGAGAUAUUAUUUCUAUGAUGUUUGUACUUGUAUUGCCAUUUAUUCUGAUGUUCAAUUUUAAUUUAACGACCGGGACAUCUUUUAAGGAUAUAAACGUAGCGAUUUUAAAUGAUGAAGUAAAUACAUCAAUUUGUACCAAUACUCGUUUAAAUAGUUGUUUAGUAGAAAACGAUUUUAAUGGAACAUUAAGUUGUGAUAUGAUAAGUUAUUUAAGAUCUCUUGAUUAUAUUAUUGUAAGCAUAAAUAUAAAAACUUUACAGGGUGAUAAUUUUAUUACUAGCCACUCAAUUUCUUAAUAUUCAUUUAUUCUGUGUAAAAUAUUUUUUAUAUUUUAUGUCUUAACUUUAUUUUUUAAAUGACAACAUACAAAUUUACUUAUUAAAUAAAAAAUUAUGUAAUUUAGAAAGUGACUGGUCGAUAUAAAUUUUUGGACCAUU